rnacentral:rRNA from 1 species
UACGUAGGGUCCGAGCGUUGUCCGGAAUUAUUGGGCGUAAAGAGCUUGUAGGCGGUUUGUCGCGUCUGCCGUGAAAAUUCGAGGCUCAACCUCGAACUUGCGGUGGGUACGGGCAGACUAGAGUGUGGUAGGGGAGACUGGAAUUCCUGGUGUAGCGGUGAAAUGCGCAGAUAUCAGGAGGAACACCGGUGGCGAAGGCGGCUACCUGGACAGAAACUGACGCUGAGGCGCGAAAGCGAGGGGAGCAAACAGG